UAGAUCUGGUUUCUUUUAAGUCAUGCAUAAAGCUUUUGCUUUUUACUAAAGAUUUCUGUUGUGAGCAACAUCAAUGAGUUUGAUGUAUUUUUGUUAGCUUUGCUCUAGCAAAGUU